rnacentral:sRNA from 1 species
ACGGAACCAAUGGAUUCUAAGAAGGACACGCAGGACGGAAUCAUAUGGUGGGGUGUGACCCGGAAGAAGAUCCAAGAAGGCCUGGAAACACCGAAAUGGUGAGCAAAGGUAAAUGCAGAAAUUUGUAAAUAGUCAAAGGACAGAGAAUAAGGGUCUGUCAAGUACUCAGCCUUGUAAAGAACAUCUGUAUUACUUCACACCUCCAUGGCUUAGAGAUCAUCAAAGAAAGGGCAGAAAGAACUUAAAAACUGGAAGAUGGGGAGGAGUGCUUUGAAAUGCUGCACUCUGGACAUGACAUGGCCAUUGCACUCACGAACUAACCAGUAGCUGUGGAAACUCACACCAGGUUGCACAAGAAGAAGCUUGUCAGUAUUCCAGCAUGGAUGGAGAAGGAGUACAUGAGAUCCCAUUCCUAAAUAGCUACUGGCAGUUAAGUGCCUGUUGGGAAUGGGAGUCAUUCUUUUUCAAUGAUAUCACCAUUAGUAAAUUAAAUUUCCCAUGAUUCAGUAAAUAAUCCCUCACCUACACACAUGAAAGCAACAUUAAUUAAACUUAGUGUGUCAUUUUUUUAGUGACAUGAAAGUGGGGGCAGGAAUGCUGGGAGAGUUUUCUAGAGGGACUGAGGAAAAUAAGUGUUCAUGAUCAAAAUGAUUGCAUACAUGUAUGAAUUGUUAAAGAAUAAAAAAAAUGUAACAAAAGAAA